GUGUCAGCAGCCGCGGUAAUACGGAGGGUGCAAGCGUUGUUCGGAAUUAUUGGGCGUAAAGCGCGUGUAGGCGGUUGGGUAAGUCAGAUGUGAAAGCCUUCCGCUCAACGGAAGAAGUGCAUUUGAAACUGCUCGGCUAGAGUACGGGAGAGGAGAGUGGAAUUCCCGGUGUAGAGGUGAAAUUCGUAGAUAUCGGGAGGAACACCAGUGGCGAAGGCGGCUCUCUGGUCCGAUACUGACGCUGAGACGCGAAAGCGUGGGGAGCAAACAGGAUUAGAUACCCUGGUAGUCCACGCCGUAAACGAUGGGCACUAGGUGUAGGAGGUAUUGACCCCUCCUGUGCCGAAGUUAACGCAUUAAGUGCCCCGCCUGGGGAGUACGGCCGCAAGGCUAAAACUCAAAUGAAUUGACGGGG
rnacentral:rRNA from 1 species